rnacentral:rRNA from 1 species
CCAAUAGCGUAUAUUAAAGUUGUUGCAGUUAACAAGCUCGUAGUUGAAUUUCGGGGUUAGUAGGUUGGUCAUGCCUCUGGUAUGUACUGGUCUCACUGAUUCCUCCUUCUUGAUGAGCCGUAAUGCCAUUACAUUUGGUGUUGCUGGGAAUUUGGACUGUUACUUUGAAAAAAUUAGAGUGUUUAAAGCAAGCUAACGCUUUAAUACAUUACCAUGGAAUAAUGAAAUAGGACGUUCGAUCCUAUUUUGUUGGUUUCUAGGAUUGACGUAAUGAUUAAUAGGGAUAGUUGGGGGCAUUAGUAUUCAAUUGUCAGAGGUGAAAUUCUUGGAUUUAUUGAAGACUAACUACUGCGAAAGCAUUUGCCAAGGAUGUUUUCAUUAAUCAAGAACGAAAGUUAGGGGAUCGAAGACGAUCAGAUACCGUCGUAGUCUUAACCAUAAACUAUGCCGACUAGGGAUCGGAUGAUGUUAAUUUUUUAAUGACUCAUUCGGCGCCUUACG